CACACAGCGGCCGAGAGAGAGAGAGAGAGGCGCACAGUGUUGCGGAAAUGCCGCUCCCGGCGUUCCUGGCGGCGGCGGCGAGGCUGGCCGUCCUGGUGGCCGCUGCCGUGACGGCGGCCAACGCGGCCUCCUUCGCGCGGUACCGGCGCCGCCACCUCCGCCGCAUCCCCAACCCCAUCGACGAGUCCGCCGACCCCAUCGCCGACUUCCGCGCCCUCCCCUCCAACUCCGCCGCCGCCUCCGCCGGCGAGGAUGUCGCAGAAGAUGGCAAUUUCUUCUUUGGGCUAGCGACUGCGCCGGCGCAUGUCGAGGACAGGUUGGAAGAUGCUUGGCUUCAGUUUGCAGUGGAGCAUUCCUGUGAUGACAAGGAGGCCAUGCGCGACCAUAAGACAGCAGACGCGGUGAUGGCAUCGGCUGCAGGGGAUGGAGGCGCUCAGCUGGCUUCUAGGUCCAGAGGGGACGAAAAGGCUGUUGAUGGAGAGAAGAGGAAGCCUCUUAAGGUUGCCAUGGAGGCGAUGCUCAGGGGGUUUGAAAUGUUUGCUUACGGUGGUGAAGCUGGUUCUGGCGAUAACUGCAGCCACAACGUCGCAGCUUGGCACAAUGUUCCUUGCCCGCAAGAAAGGCUUAAAUUUUGGUCUGAUCCUGAUACUGAGUUGAAACUCGCUAAGGAAACCGGGAUCAGUGUUUUCCGCCUGGGAAUUGAUUGGACAAGGGUAAUGCCUAAGGCACCAACUGAAGAAUCCAAGAGUUCAGUCAACUUCGCAGCACUUGAGCGGUAUAGAUGGAUCAUUCAAAGAGUUCAUGAAUAUGGAAUGAAAGUGAUGCUUACGCUAUUUCACCACUCACUUCCACCUUGGGCUGGGGAAUAUGGGGGGUGGAGGAUGGAAAAAACCGUGAAGUACUUUAUGGAUUUUGUGAGGCUUGUUGUUGAUCGUGUAUCUGAUUUGGUAGACUACUGGGUGGUUUUUAAUGAACCUCAUGUGUUUGUAAUGCUGACCUAUUGUGCUGGUGCUUGGCCUGGUGGAGACCCUAAUGCAAUUGAAGUAGCAACAUCUGCUUUACCGACUGGUGUAUAUAACCAAGCAUUACAUUGGAUGGCUAUUGCACAUGCAGAAGCCUAUGACUACAUACAUUCAGAAAGCAAAAGUAAAAGGAAGCCAUUCGUUGGUGUCGCUCAUCAUGUAUCAUUUACACGGCCCUAUGGUCUAUUUGAUGUUGCUGCUGUCACACUGGCUAAUUCAUUGACCCUUUUCCCUUACGUUGAUAGCAUAUGUGAUAAAUUGGAUUUUAUCGGCAUCAACUACUAUGGGCAGGAGGUGAUAUCAGGCCCUGGUCUAAAGCUCGUGGACAAUGACGAGUACAGUGAAUCUGGUCGUGGUGUUUAUCCUGAUGGGCUGUUUCGUAUCCUGAUUCAGUUUAAUGAACGAUACAAGAGCUUAAAUAUACCUUUUAUAAUUACUGAAAAUGGAGUUUCUGACGAGACUGAUCUGAUUCGGAAACCAUAUAUUCUGGAGCACCUGUUAGCCAUUUAUGCUGCAAUCAUUAUGGGUGUGCCUGUGCUUGGUUAUCUAUUCUGGACGAUGUCAGAUAAUUGGGAAUGGGCUGAUGGCUAUGGUCCUAAGUUUGGGCUUGUGGCUGUUGAUCGUGCUAACAACCUAGCACGGAAACCUAGGCCUUCAUACUAUUUAUUCUCCAAGGUUGUUACAACUGGGAAAAUUACAAGACAGGACAGGCUGGGUGCUUGGAGGGAGCUGCAACAAGCAGCAUUUCAGAAGAAAACACGCCCAUUUUUCAGGGCAGUAGAUAAACAUGGUCGGAUGUAUGCAGGGGGUUUAGAUCGGCCUAUCCAGAGACCAUUCAUAUUGCGGGAUUGGCGAUUUGGUCAUUAUGAAAUGGAAGGCUUGCAGGAUCCUUUCAGUCGCUUUAUAAGAUCCAUUUUUUCACCAAUUUUGCGCAAGAAGAAGAUUCAUUACAUUGAGUAUGAGGAUAUUUCUUAUGCUAUUUCCCCCUGAUGCUUGUUACUCUAGUUGGUAAGUAGCAUGAUUUGUCCUCUAGAUAAAGUAAACAAAAAGUCCUGUGAAGCAGAAGUUUCUCUUUUUUGUUGAUAAAUUGCAAUGUGCACUAUUUAUCCUGGCAGUUUAUCCUGACACCUGGGACCCUUCUGCAGCAACUUACUGGCACCUAAAGUUGACUUACGGAUCUAUCUAGUACACUCUUCAUUUAAGACGAAAUAUUUAUGCAUGGUGAUUAGUUGAGAUCAUGUGCGAAGAAAAGCAUCAGAUCGGAGUGGAGUCCAUAGUUCGUUAAGCUCUUGUAUGAAGUCCAUGUGCAAUAUGGAGUGCCGGAUUGUGUUAUGUACUUGGUGUCAACCGAUUUAACUGACUUGGUUGAGUAAUGGAAUCCAAAUUCUACCUAUAUAAGAGAAGUCCAUGUGCAAUAUAAUACUGAAGGCAUCAGGAUAUACAUAGGAAGCAAAAGAUGAGGAUACAUAUAUACUUUAUUAAUUCGGCAACGUUGCACGGAUGGAAACACCAAGACAAGUCCAAGAUUGUUGACGGUGGAUGAUGCAUUGAUCCUUCGAUGCAACUUCGUUUGCUAGAGGAAGAAGAUAUCGGGAGGCACAUCCAAAUAGGUAGGCGCACGUACGUGAUGACCGGUGACGUCUUCUUUUGGAUACAUCGGCGGAGGAACAAAGACCGACAUAAUUGUGUAUGUACGUAUGCAAAACACCGAAUAUGUUUCUAUUCGGCUUGGAAUUCCUAUAUUGUAAAUGAAAGACCAGCCGCCAUAUAAAGGAUGACAGCCAAUCUGAGAGAUGCAACAUCUGAUCAUGAAAAUCAAUAUGGUUUUUUUUUGUCUUCUAUA